ensembl:lncRNA
UGACAUUUGCUGUAUAUGUGGAAUUGCAAAGCCUGUUCAGUUGUUGUACCAAGUAGGUUAAAACUUCUGCAGCAUUAUAGGUUAAAACACAGGCAUUUCGGACAUAAUAGUCGUUUUCCAUGUGUUUAUUCUAACUGCCCCUGCACAUUUAGAACUUGGAAUGCACUUAGAAUUCAUUUAAAUAGAUUUCAUGUGUCUGACACUAGGCAGAAACAGUUUCAAAAUAUAAUAUUUAGUUGCCAUAUAUGUCAUUGUGGAGGACUUAACUUGGAGAAAGAUUACUGGGCUCAUAUUAAUGCACAUCUUAAGAAAAAUGAAUUGAUAACUUGUAUGUUUUCAGGUUGUAACUUUAAAACAAAUAUCUGUGGUACCUUUAAAUCUCAUAAGAACAGAAAGCAUCAUUCUUUUUUACUAAAUGAUUUUAAACCUGGGAUAGUAACAACUACAACAGUAGCUUCACAAGAGUCAGAUUUAGCAGAUGAUGUUGAGGUAGAGGCAUAUUAUGAAAUUGAAUCUGAUGUCCAUUCUUCAAAUAACCUUCCAAAUGAAAUCAAACACAAUUUUGCAGCAGCAUUGUUAAAGCUUGAACAUCUGUCCCAUGUACCCAGUGCAGCCAUUGAUGAAUUUUUACAAGAGCUUUACAUCCUAAAUAGCACUUUGUCAAUUCCCCUUACUACAGAUGUUUUAGUAGAUGCUUUUCAGAAGCACAAUCUUGAAGUUGACAAAUCUAUCCUGAAAGAAAUAGCAACUACACUGUCCACAGAUAACCCUAUACACAAAGCUAUACAAAAAGGUGGCUGUCUUGGUUCUGCUUAUCAACGUAGGCAGUAUUAUAAGACUAACUUCAAUGUAGUUGAUCCUGUUGAAUAUAUUCUGGAUGCUAAAAACAAAAAGACUUUUCAGUACAUUCCAAUUCUUGAUUCCCUUCAAGUGCUUUUAAAUCGGAAAGAUAUUUUAGAAAAGAUAUCUCCGGAUCAGAAAACACAAGAAACUGAGGAAGACAGUUUGUAUCAGUCUUUCAGAGAUGGUCUUCAUUUUAAACAAAAUAGGUUUUUGUCAGGUCAAGAGCUAAGACUUUUUGUGGGUUUAUAUGUUGAUGAUUUUGAGCUCUGCAACCCCCUGGGGACAUCCCGCAAAAAACACAAGCUUUGUGCAGUCUAUUGGGUGCUAAGGAACCUACCUCCUGGGUCCAAUUCAUCAUUGUCCUCUAUAUAUUUGGCCCUACUAUGUAGAACUGAUGAUGUCAAAACAUAUGGCUAUAACAGAGUGCUUGAACCACUCCUAAAAGACCUCAAAUACUUGGAAGAACAUGGAAUUUUCAUACCACUGUUAGGAGAAACACUGAAGGGAACUGUUGUUACUGUUUCUGCAGACAAUUUAGGAGCUCAUGGUUUAGCUGGCUUUAAUGAAAGUUUUUCAGGGCAUUAUAUUUGUCGAUUUUGUACUGCAAGCAAACAAGACAUUCAGUCAAUAGAGGUAAGAACAGGUGCUCUCAGCCUCAGAACAAAAGAGCUCCACAGUGCUCAUGUGAGGCUGGCUGAGGAUAGUGAUACUAACUAUUUUGGAGUGAAAAAAGCUUGUCCUCUAACUGAAGCUCUUUCUCAUUUUCAUGUCCUCACUGGCUACCCACCAGACAUUGCCCAUGAUAUAUUUGAGGGUAUUGUACCUGUUGAGCUUGCACAUUGUCUCACAUUGAUAAUAUCAAAAAAGUACAUUACCUUGGAUAAAAUCAACAAAUCAAUUUUGGAUUUUCCAUACAAAUAUAACGAUAAGACUAAUAAGCCUCAUGUUUUGCCUCAACCUUUAUCAAGCAGGAAAACAAUAGGAGGCAAUGCUCAUGAGAACUGGAGCUUGUUACGCUUGCUUCCAUUUUUAAUUGGUCCUCAGAUUCCUGAAAAUGAGCCUGCAUGGCAGAUUCUCUUAGACUUGAAAGAGAUUGUAGAACUUGUUGUUGCCCCAGUUCACAAUGAUGAGUCCAUUGCUUACUUAGAAAGUAAAAUAUCUGAGCACAGACAAAGAUACCAGGACUUAUUUCCUGAACAGAGAUUGCUGCCCAAACACCACUACUUGGAGCACUACCCUCAAAUAAUCAGGUUGUUUGGUCCUCUUGUGGGGUAUUGGACAAUCAGGUUUGAAGCAAAGCACAGCUUCUUUAAACAGGCAAUUAGACAUACCAGUUGCUUCAAAAAUGUCCCAUUCUCCCUGGCCACAAAACAUCAGCUAAUGAUUGGGUACCAGCUAACUUCACCAAGUCUUGAGAAGUCAGAGCUGGAAAUGUCAAGUGGAUCUGCAGUCCCAGUGGAUAUUUUGAAGGAAGAGAUAGCUAUAGUUGUGAGGCAGAGAUAUCCUAAUCUCUCUGAAAUUCAUAUCACAAAAAAUGUUUGGAGUAAGGGUAUCAACUACAGGACAGGAAUGAUCGUUGUUCAUGGAUCUGAAGGUGGAUUACCUGAAUUUGGUCAAAUUGAGCAAAUUUGUGUUUUGCAUCAAAAGUUGUUCUUUAUUGUGAAACAACUCUGUGGAUGGUAUAGAGAGCACUAUAGAGCUUACGAGCUAAGUCAGUCCCCAACAAAGGCAGUUAGCCUUGUAGAAGUCAGUGAAUUAACUGAUGAAUACCCCUUGGCUGACUAUUUGAUUGGACAUGUGCAGAUGGUAACGUUAAAGAGAUUUGUCUGCUGCAAAGGAUGACAUUGAUGCAGCUCGUGAACUUGCCAUCAGAGGACUGUGUAUCUAUCUUAAUGAGGACCCUAAAGAUCUCAUUCAGGAGUAUGUG